GGGGAAUAUUGCACAAUGGGCGCAAGCCUGAUGCAGCGACGCCGCGUGGGGGAUGAAGGCCUUCGGGUUGUAAACUCCUUUCAACCAUGACGAAGCAUUAUGUGACGGUAGUGGUAGAAGAAGCACCGGCUAACUACGUGCCAGCAGCCGCGGUAAUACGUAGGGUGCGAGCGUUGUCCGGAAUUACUGGGCGUAAAGAGCUCGUAGGUGGUUUGUCGCGUCGUCUGUGAAAUUCCGGGGCUUAACUCCGGGCGUGCAGGCGAUACGGGCAUAACUUGAGUGCUGUAGGGGAGACUGGAAUUCCUGGUGUAGCAGUGAAAUGCGCAGAUAUCAGGAGGAACACCGAUGGCGAAGGCAGGUCUCUGGGCAGUAACUGACGCUGAGGAGCGAAAGCAUGGGUAGCGAAC
rnacentral:rRNA from 1 species